UACAUUUCAAAACAGAGCUUUGCUCUCUAACCAAAAUAGAAGAAACAAAGAUUAAUUCACACAUCAAUUCAGAGAUUUCAGAGAUAAAUUAGAGUUUAUGGAAGAGUGACAACCAGAGAUGGAGGCCCAUUUCCUCUCUUUAUAAUGCACCCUUCAAGUCUUUGUUUUUUUGCAGAUCCAAAAUCUCUUUAUUUGCAUUGAGGAACAGAGGGUUGAGCCUGUCAAGAAAUGAGAGGUUGCAGGGCUUUUUCUUUCCUUGUCCUCUGUUUAUUUCUUUUUCAUGGCGUUAAUGGGGAGAACCCUUAUAGGUUCUUGACGUGGAAAGUCACUUAUGGUGACAUCUAUCCUCUUGGAGUUAAGCAACAGGGAAUCUUGAUUAAUGGGCAGUUUCCAGGGCCACAAAUCGAUGUUAUUACAAAUGAUAACCUCAUUAUCAACGUUUUCAAUUACCUGAGAGAGCCAUUCCUCAUCUCUUGGAAUGGCAUACAACAGAGGAGGAACUCAUGGCAGGAUGGAGUGUAUGGCACCAACUGUCCAAUCCCACCAGGGAAAAACUUCACUUACAUCCUCCAAGUGAAGGACCAGAUUGGUAGCUUUUGUUAUUUCCCAUCACUUGGAAUGCACAAGGCUGCCGGAGGGUUUGGUGGCAUCAGAGUUUGGAGCCGCCCUCGGAUUCCUGUGCCUUUCCCUCCUCCUUCAGGGGAUUUUACUGUACUAGCUGGAGACUGGUACAAGAGAGAUCACUAUCAAUUGAGACGAAUAUUGGAUGCUGGUCAUGAUCUUCCAUUCCCUGAUGGACUUCUCAUCCAUGGUCGUGGAUGGAAUGGAUACAGAUUCACAGUUGAUCCAGGUAAGACUUACAGGUUCAGGAUAUCAAACGUGGGCCUUGCAACAUCUAUUAACUUCAGGAUUCAAGGGCAUAAGAUGAAACUGGUGGAGGUAGAAGGAUCCCAUACGCUACAAAAUACCUAUUCUGCCCUUGACAUCCAUCUUGGGCAGUCCUAUUCUGUCUUGGUCACAGCUGAUCAGCCAGCCCAAGACUACUACAUUGUCGUUUCCACACGCUUCACUGCUCGUGUACUCACAACAACUGCCGUUCUUCACUAUAGCAAUUCAUAUAAAGGAGUUUGGGGUCCAAUCCCAGGUGGUCCUACUACUCAGAUUGAUUGGUCCCUGAACCAGGCCAGAUCUAUACGUUGGAAUCUGACUGCAAGUGGGCCCAGGCCGAAUCCCCAAGGUUCUUACCACUAUGGAAUGAUUAAGACAAGCCGCACAAUCACUCUUGCAAACUCUGCUCCUAUUAUUAAUCGCAAGCAGAGGUUUGCUGUCAACAGUGUCUCAUUUGUUCCUCCAGAUACCCCCUUAAAACUUGCAGACUACUUCAAGAUUCCUGGAGUUUUCUACCUGGGAAGUAUCCCUAGCUACCCUACCUGGGGAAAUGACUACCUCCAGACCUCGGUAAUGUCUUCUAAUUUCAGGGAAUUCAUUGAGAUUGUUUUCCAAAAUUGGGAGGACACCGUUCAGUCAUGGCACAUAGAUGGCCAUUCCUUCUUUGUUGUGGGAAUGGAUGGAGGACAAUGGACACCUGCAAGCAGGGCGACAUAUAACUUGAGAGAUGCAGUUGCUCGUUGCACAACUCAGGUAUGAUGAAUAUGGUGUAAUCUAAGGAAGCAAUAUGAAGUUUAAGAUACCUUAAUAGUUAGUUUAACUGUUUGAUUGAAAAUAGGUAUAUCCCAAGUCUUGGACUGCUAUUUACAUGGCUUUAGACAAUGUGGGAAUGUGGAACAUUCGUUCUGAGAACUGGGCUAGGCAAUAUUUGGGGCAGCAGUUCUAUCUCAGGGUUUACACCUCUUCAAAUUCAUGGAGAGACGAGUUACCCAUCCCAAGGAAUGCUCUUCUUUGCGGCCAGGCAAGAGGUCGUCACACGAGGCCUUUUUGAAUUGGAUUAGAAUUUAGAUUAUAGUUCUUGUCAGGAUAGGGUGACAUGGUUCUUGAGGCAAAAGGACUAUAUAUUCAUUCCUCCCGGGAAAUUGUUAAUGCAGGAGCUCAACUUGAGCUUUGAGUCUUCAUUCUUGCCUGUAUGACGUUGUGAUCUAUGUUUCUAAGUCUAUUCUUGUAAACCCAUUAUGAAGAAGCUGUUCUGUAGUCUCUGAAUACUUUCUUGACUCCAAUAUAGCAAUAUAAUUGUGACUUGUGAGUUGUGAC
rnacentral:misc_RNA from 1 species